rnacentral:rRNA from 1 species
UUAUUUAUUUAUUUUUGUUAAUAGUUUAUGCGUGUGUUUGUAAAAAGUAGUUAUUUAUCCAAGUUAUGUUAAUUAAAAGAAGGUGUCAAUGUGAGUUCUGUAAGGAAUAUUUUAUUAAUAUAGUAGAAGUAGACAGUUUUGUUGUACCUUUUGUAUCAGGGUUAAUUAAUUGUAUGAAUGUUUUUAUUUAUAUCCCGAAAAGAGGGGAGCUAAUAUAGAUGUUAGGGUUAAUGUUUUAUUAUUAUUCUGAAUUUUAUGUUAGGGCUGAAAUGGUAUUCGUAUCUCUAAUAUCUGGUUUUGGGGGAGACAGAUUUAAUCUGGGAAUAAGGAAUUAAAUGAGGAUUAGAAUAAGUGUAUUUUUGAAUAGAGAAGGAUUACCUUAUUCUUUUCUUUUGAGGGUUAAGCUUUAAGAAGGUAUAAUUCUAGAAGAGUUUCCAUAAAAAUAUAAUUUAAGUAGAAUUGGAAGUGUUCAUCUUUAUUGUGUUAUAACUUGGGUUAUAGUUGUUAUUUAUAUUAUGUUUAUUUUUAGUUUUGAGGACCCUAUUGUUUAAAUUAAUAAUGAAAUUUUAUUAAUAAUGAUUGAAUUAGUAAAUUGGUUAGGUUUUUAUUAAGAAUUCGGCAAAUUUAAUCUUCGCCUGUUUAACAAAAACAUGUUCUUUAGUUUUUAUUUCAGAUUAGGCCUGCCCUAUGAAUAUUUUAAAUGGCUGCGGUACUUUGACCGUGCAAAGGUAGCAUAAUAAUUAGUCUUUUAAAUGAAGGCUUGGAUGAAUGGUUUCACGAAAGAUUGUCUUUUUAUUUAGGAAUUUUUUUUAAAUUUAAUAAUCGGGUGAGAAAGCCUAUAUAAAUUAGGAGGACGAGAAGACCCUAUAGAACUUUAAGUAAAAGUAACUUAAUUUUGGUUGGGUGAUAAGUUGUGUGAUGAUGGGAAUUGUGUUUAAAUUAUUUUAAAUUGGGGUGAUUGGAGAAUUUUUAUAACUUCUUUGUUUUUCUUAAUUCUAAUUAAUUGUGUUUUGAUCCUCUAUUGGGGACUGUAAGAUCAAGUUACCUUAGGGGUAACAGCACAAUUUAGUUGUGGAGUUCAUAUCGAUAACUUGGGAUUGUGACCUCGAUGUUGGAUUAAGAUAGAAGUUGGGGGUAGUUUCUCAAUGAUUGGGUCUGUUCGACCCUUAAAAUCUUACAUGAUCUGAGUUCAGACCGGCGUGAGCCAGGUCGGUUUCUAUCCUCUAAUGGGUAUUAUUUGUUAGUACGAAAGGACCAUGAAUAGGGGAAUUAUUCUUUUAAUUAAAUGUUAAAAUAGUA